rnacentral:rRNA from 1 species
AGCGAACGCUGGCGGCAUGCUUAACACAUGCAAGUCGCGCGGGUGGUUUCGGCCAUCAGCGGCUGACGGGUGGGUAUCGCGUAGGAAUGUAUCCCGAGGUGGGGGCCAACCCUGGGAAACUGGUGCUAAUACCGCAUGGGGCCACUGGGUCAAAGCCGUAGCGGGGCUUGGGGGCAGCCUGCGUCCGAUUAGGUAGUUGGUGGGGGACGGCCCUACCAAGCCUGCGAUCGGUAGCUGCUCGGAGAGGACGAUCAGCCACACUGGAACUGCGACCCGGCCCCGACUGGGACGGGGGGGAGGAGUGGGGAAUAUUAGAGGAGGAGCGCAAGCCUGGCCCAGCCACGCCGGGUGGGUGAAGAAGGUCGUUGGAUUGUAAUGCCCUUUCGGCGGGGGCGAUGGUGACGGUACCGGCAGAAGAAGCCCCGGCUAACUACGUG